AUUGAACGCUGGCGGCAGGCUUAACACAUGCAAGUCGAGCGGGGUGAUGGUGCUUGCACUAUCACUUAGCGGCGGACGGGUGAGUAAUGCUUAGGAAUCUGCCUAUUAGUGGGGGACAACAUCUCGAAAGGGAUGCUAAUACCGCAUACGUCCUACGGGAGAAAGCAGGGGAUCACUUGUGACCUUGCGCUAAUAGAUGAGCCUAAGUCGGAUUAGCUAGGUGGUGGGGUAAAGGCCUACCAAGGCGACGAUCUGUAGCGGGUCUGAGAGGAUGAUCCGCCACACUGGGACUGCGGCAGCGCCCAGACUCCUACGGGAGGCAGCAGUGGGGAAUAUUGGACAAUGGGGGGAACCCUGAUCCAGCCAUGCCGCGUGUGUGAAGAAGGCCUUAUGGUUGUAAAGCACUUUAAGCGAGGAGGAGGCUCUUUUGGUUAAUACCCAAGAUGAGUGGACGUUACUCACAGAAUAAGCACCGGCUAACUCUGUGCCAGCCGCCGCGGUAA
rnacentral:rRNA from 1 species